rnacentral:rRNA from 1 species
UACAGAGGUCUCAAGCGUUGUUCGGAUUCAUUGGGCGUAAAGGGUGCGUAGGUGGCGCCGUAAGUCAGGUGUGAAAUCUCGGGGCUUAACUCCGAAAUGGCAUUGGAAACUACCUUGCUCGAGGGUUGGAGGGGGGACUGGAAUACUUGGUGUAGCAGUGAAAUGCGUAGAUAUCAAGAGGAACACCAGUGGCGAAGGCGAGUCCCUGGACAAUUCCUGACACUGAGGCACGAAAGCCGGGGGAGCAAACAGG